AACCUGCCUCAAAGAGGGGGACAACAGUUGGAAACGACUGCUAAUACCGCAUAAGCCCACGGCUCGGCAUCGAGCAGAGGGAAAAGGAGCAAUCCGCUUUGAGAUGGCCUCGCGUCCGAUUAGCUAGUUGGUGAGGUAACGGCCCACCAAGGCGACGAUCGGUAGCCGGACUGAGAGGUUGAACGGCCACAUUGGGACUGAGACACGGCCCAGACUCCUACGGGAGGCAGCAGUGGGGAAUAUUGCACAAUGGGGGAAACCCUGAUGCAGCGACGCCGCGUGGAGGAAGAAGGUCUUCGGAUUGUAAACUCCUGUUGUUGAGGAAGAUAAUGACGGUACUCAACAAGGAAGUGACGGCUAACUACGUGCCAGCAGCCGCGGUAAAACGUAGGUCACAAGCGUUGUCCGGAAUUACUGGGUGUAAAGGGAGCGCAGGCGGGAAGACAAGUUGGAAGUGAAAUCCAUGGGCUCGACCCAUGAACUGCUUUCAAAACUGUUUUUCUUGAGUAGUGCAGAGGUAGGCGGAAUUCCCGGUGUAGCGGUGGAAUGCGUAGAUAUCGGGAGGAACACCAGUGGCGAAGGCGGCCUACUGGGCACCAACUGACGCUGAGGCUCGAAAGUGUG
rnacentral:rRNA from 1 species